rnacentral:rRNA from 1 species
GUCCAUGCCGUAAACGGUGGGCGCUAGGUGUAGGGGACUUCCACGUCUUCUGUGCCGCAGCUAACGCAUUAAGCGCCCCGCCUUGGGAGUACGGCCGCAAGGCUAAAACUCAAAGGAAUUGACGGGGGCCCGCACAAGCGGCGGAGCAUGUGGAUUAAUUCGAUGCAACGCGAAGAACCUUACCUGGGCUUGACAUACACCGGACCGGGCUAGAGAUAGUCCUUCCCUUGUGGCUGGUGUACAGGUGGUGCAUGGUUGUCGU